rnacentral:tRNA from 1 species
CGCGGGGUGGAGCAGCUGGUAGCUCGUCGGGCUCAUAACCCGAAGGUCAUGUGGUUCAAAUCCCAUCCCCGCUACCA